UUCGGACUGCAGGCUGCAACUCGCCUGCACGAAGUUGGAAUUGCUAGUAAUCGUGGAUCAGCAUGCCACGGUGAAUACGUUCCCGGGUCUUGUACACACCGCCCGUCACACCAUGGGAGCCGGUAAUACCCGAAGUCAGUAGUCUAACCGCAAGGAGGACGCUGCCGAAGGUAGGAUUGGCGACUGGGGUGAAGUCGUAACAAGGUAGC
rnacentral:rRNA from 1 species